rnacentral:rRNA from 1 species
GAGUUUGAUCAUGGCUCAGAACGUACGCUGGCGGCACGCCUAACACAUGCAAGUCGAACGAAGUAGCAAUACUUAGUGGCAGACGGGUGAGUAACAUGUAGGUAUCUGCCCUUUGGCCUGGAAUAACACGAGGAAACUUGUGCUAAUACCGGAUAAGUCUUUACGGAGAAAGCUUUAUGCACCAUUGGAUGAGCCCGCACUUGAUUAGUUUGUUGGUGGGGUAAUGGCCUACCAAGACUGUGAUCAAUAGCUGAUUUGAGAGGAUGAUCAGCCACAUUGGGACUGAGACACGGCCCAAACUCCUACGGGAGGCAGCAGUGGGGAAUCUUGCACAAUGGAGGAAACUCUGAUGCAGCGAUGCCGCGUGAGUGAAGAAGGCCCUUGGGUUGUAAAGCUCUUUCGUCGGGGAAGAAAAUGACUGUACCCGAAUAAGAAGGUCCGGCUAACUUCGUGCCAGCAGCCGCGGUAAUACGAAGGGACCUAGCGUAGUUCGGAAUUACUGGGCUUAAAGAGUUCGUAGGUGGUUGAAAAAGUUAGUGGUGAAAUCCCAGAGCUUAACUCUGGAACUGCCAUUAAAACUUUUCAGCUAGAGUAUGAUAGAGGAAAGCAGAAUUUCUAGUGUAGAGGUGAAAUUCGUAGAUAUUAGAAAGAAUACCAAUUGCGAAGGCAGCUUUCUGGAUCAUUACUGACACUGAGGAACGAAAGCAUGGGUAGCGAAGAGGAUUAGAUACCCUCGUAGUCCAUGCCGUAAACGAUGUGUGUUGGACGUUGGAAAUUUAUUUUCAGUGUCGCAGGGAAACCGAUAAACACACCGCCUGGGGAGUACGACCGCAAGGUUAAAACUCAAAUGAAUUGACGGGGACCCGCACAAGUAGUGGAGCAUGUGGUUUAAUUCGAAGAUACGCGCAGAACCUUACCAACACUUGACAUGUUCGUCGCGACUCUAAGAGAUUAGAGUUUUCGGUUCGGCCGGACGAAACACAGGUGCUGCAUGGCUGUCGUCAGCUCGUGUCGUGAGAUGUUGGGUUAAGUCCCGCAACGAGCGCAACCCUCACUUUUAGUUGCCAUCAUUAAGUUGGGCACUCUGAAAGAACUGCCAGUGAUAAGCUGGAGGAAGGUGGGGAUGACGUCAAGUCCUCAUGGCCCUUACGUGUUGGGCUACACACGUGCUACAAUGGUAUCUACAACAGGAAGCAAGACUGCGAAGUUAAGCAAAUCCCUAAAAGAUACCUCAGUUCGGAUUGCACUCUGCAACUCGAGUGCAUGAAGCUGGAAUUACUAGUAAUCGUGGAUCAGCGUGCCACGGUGAAUGCGU